rnacentral:rRNA from 1 species
GUCCUAGCCGUAAACGAUGAACACUAGGCGUAGUCGGUAUCGACCCCGGCUGUGCCGAAGCUAACGCAUUAAGUGUUCCGCCUGGGGGAGUACGGCCGCAAGGCUAAAACUCAAAGGAAUUGACGGGGGCCCGCACAAGCAGCGGAGCGUGUGGUUUAAUUCGUCGCAACGCGAAGAACCUUACCAGGGCUUGACAUGCACCGGAAAACGGCGGAAACGUCGUCCUCCCGCAAGGGAUCGGUGUGCAGGUGUUGCAUGGCUGUCGU